UACGUAGGGCGUAAGCGUUGUCCGGAAUUAUUGGGCGUAAAGAGCUCGUAGGCGGCCAGUUGCGUCUGCUGUGAAAUCCCGGGGCUCAACCCCGGGCGUGCAGUGGAUACGGGCUGGCUAGAGGCAGGCAGGGGAGAACGGAAUUCCCGGUGUAGCGGUGAAGUGCGCAGAUAUCGGGAGGAACACCGGUGGCGAAGGCGGUUCUCUGGGCCUGUACUGACGCUGAGGAGCGAAAGCGUGGGGAGCGAACAGG
rnacentral:rRNA from 1 species